UUAAAAGGCAAACCCGUUGAAAAGCGGGGACGCAAAGCCAAGGGUCUAAGGCAGAGAUGCUAUGACAGCCGGUUGCCAC
rnacentral:ncRNA from 1 species